CCGAGAAAUUUGUGGAGUUCCUGGAGAAGGAGGAUUUAACCUCGACUCAGCCCGCCUUCACUCCCCAAGGUGCUAAGAAUCAAACAAGCGGCUCCCACACCAGAAGGUAUGCCUGGAAUGCCAGAUCCCCUCUCUUGGCUUCUGAAGAGGAUGUCAGAGAGAGGGGAAGAGCCACACGUUUCUGAGUGAGGACCCCUGGGGGAGUCUGAUUGGGGCCUGUGUACAUGAAAGUACGAACGGACGAUUCUUCUUAGUGCGCACGAGAUCAACAAGCUUGUUUGCUUUGCAGCCACUUUAAAUACAAAAUAAGCAUUCGAUCUACGUCAGAACGCUCUCGAAUCUUUCUGCAGUGUCGUGAGCAGAGCGGCAAGAGCGAUUUUUGACGCUCUCGACACCGGCGGUGUGAACGCACAAUGCUGGAGAAAAAACAGCGAGGCUAAAGCAUUCAAAGUGGAAACAUCUGCUGUGGCUCAUUAAUCCAGAAUUGGGAUGGAGGAAGGAGCAGAAGAAGCAGAAGAUCAGAGAUCAGGCAGAGAUCUAGUGGUGCCACUGUGGGAACCCAUUUACCUAAUCUGUUAGUUAAACCAAAGAUUUUCCUCACUCACUUUCAUGUUGUUCCAAGCCAGACUUUUUUUUUUAUAUAAAAUAACGCAUUCACACAAGCACCAUGAUGCAUCAGUGUUGCAUUAGCGUGAGCGUGAGAGCUGGCGCUUUUGUGAAAAUCCAUUGGGCAGUAAUAAUUUCUGAAUAGAUUAUUUUUGCUGUUGUUGUUUUUUGCGUACACAAGACAUCUGUUAAAAAAUAUCUUAAUUUGUGUUCUGCAACAUGGUUUGGGGCAACAUUAGGGUAAGUAAUUAAUGACAGAAUUUAAAUUUAUGGUUGUUCUAAUGUGGUUAUAAUUGUUCAUAGUUUAUUGUCUUGAAAAAUUAUAUUAAUACAGAAAGAUGGAUUAAUUUGAUAAGUUUAUAGUAAAGACUUUUAAAUUGAUUAAAAAAAAUCUAAAUAAAUACUACUCUUUUGCAAGGUCUAUUAAAAAAUACUGACAAAUGUAAUGGUUUCCACAAAAUAUUGGGCAGCACAACUGUUUUAAACAUUGAUAAUAAUCAGAAAUGUUUCUUGAGCAGCAAAUCAGUAUGUUAUAAUGAUUUCUGAAGAUCAUGUAACACUGAAGACUGGAGUAAUUGUGUUGUUUCUAUGCAUCCACAUAGAAAACAAUUAUUUCUGUAGUUAUAUUUCACAAAUCAAUAUUACUGUUUUUACGGUCUGUUUAAUCAAAGGAGGCUUAAAAUGUGAUCAAGAAUUUACAUGAAAGAUGUAAUGUGUCAAUAAAUGUGUCAAUAUAC